GCUGGGGUGGCGAAACCGGAAGACGCGACGGCCUUAGGAGCCGUUGAGAGCAAUCUCGUGGGAGUUCGAAUCUCCCCCCCAGCA
rnacentral:tRNA from 1 species